AAUAAAACUACCAAUAGGGAGUGAACAGGGACCCAUGGGCAAAUUGGAAUGGUGAUUAUUUAUAUUGGGAGGGGAAGCUUGUGGUCCUGUCUCCCUACUAACUAGGUCAAUGUUAGAGAGAAAACAUGGAGAAUUACUUGUCUCCUUUCCCUCAGCCCUUGCCUGUUACAAAUACCUUUGUUCUUUCCCUCUCUCUAGCUUCCUACUUGAUUUAGCCUUGGCAUUCCUCUUCCUUCUCUUCAUUCUGCUGCACAAUCUCUGGAUCAGGAUUCAGCACUUUGGACAGCACUGGGCUGCCCAAAAAGAGGACUUGAGGAGCAAGGAGCCAGUGGCAUACGUGGGGAGAAGCCUUAACACAAUUGGCCUCCACAUCCCUUAAGCAGCCUUCCAUGACUGACUGGAGGACAGGUAACAGAAGCCACUCUACCCCAGAGAGAGAGAGAGAAGAGAUCUUCCUGUCAUCCUAUCAGCUGACAUCUGCCCUCCUCCAGGAAGAUUUUCAGGAUUCCUAGAGCACCAACUUUUGAAUUACCCAGUUCCUGUCUGGGAUAAAAGUACUUGAACUUUACACAUUGCCCAUCUCUGUGUAUUUUUACUAGCCUGGGAGCCCCACGGGGGCAGGAACUGAGUCUGUGUU
rnacentral:lncRNA from 1 species